GUGUCAGCAGCCGCGGUAAGACGAACCGUGCGAACGUUGUUCGGAUUCACUGGGCUUAAAGGGCGCGUAGGCGGGCAUUCAAGUCUGGGGUGAAAUCCUCCGGCUCAACCGGAGAACAGCCCCCGAUACUGGAUGCCUCGAGGGAGGUAGGGGUCGAGGGAACUUCCGGUGGAGCGGUGAAAUGCGUAGAUAUCGGAAGGAACGCCGGUGGCGAAAGCGCUCGACUGGACCUCUUCUGACGCUGAGGCGCGAAAGCCAGGGGAGCGAACGGGAUUAGAUACCCCGGUAGUCCUGGCCCUAAACGAUGAGGACUAGAUUGUAGGCCGCAUGGGCUUACAGUCGAAGCAAAAGUUUUAAGUCCUCCGCCUGGGGAGUAUGGUCGCAAGGCUGAA
rnacentral:rRNA from 1 species